ensembl:piRNA 21ur-2754 ncRNA
UCGUUGAUUUUUGGAUAUAGG